GACGAAUGAUCGUACAUUCAGUAAAAAGAAGCUUAGGUGGAGUAUAAGGUUAACAUAACCCUAUUUCAGCUUAAAGAUUGUAACUAUUGGUCAAAAAAAAUAUUUGACUAAAGUAGGGUUUUUUUUUUUUUUUUUUUUUUUUUUGUUUUGAACGGCCUAAAGUAGGUUUAAAUAUUAAGUAGAUGGCCGUAAGUUUCUUCAGUCAUUUUGAAAAUGGAUAUUAAUUAUGCUUUCAAUAUUAAAAGAAUAAAAGUAACUUAACUCUUUUAUUGUACAAAUGAUUUGCAUUCUUAUUUCUUUGGCAAUGAGCUGCAGCUCAAUUACUAUUGGAGGGUAAGUGUAAAUGCGGGUUGAAGGAUACAUAUUUCAACUUCGAAUCCAAUUCAAACCAGGUUUUAUGGUGGUGGGUGCGUGCGGUGGGUUUUACCGUAAACUAGAGAUAGUGGGCUUAGGCGACCAAGCGGUGUCUACGAUCGCGGACGUAUAUGUCGCCCUUUGCCAUUAGAUUACCUUGUGUAGCCAGACUUUUAUUCGUUAGCCGUUAAAAAACAUUAUAACUUCUUUCUAAUAAUCUAUAUAUCUAUAUAUCUAUAUAACUAUAUAAUACAUUUCCAAUGGACAAAAAAGUAAUUUAACCUCUAAUUUUUAAGAUGGCAGACUAAAAGACUUAAAUAAAACCUAUAUUUUUACAUUUUUCUUCCCAUUUUAUCCUCCUCUCCUUACAAUCGACAGCCACCAUCAUCAGUUUCUUCAUUAAUUCCCUGAAUCCUUUCUACCUUUGUGAUUUUUCGUAUUCAACCGAGAAGUCUGUAUUGAAGUUUGAUCUUUCACAUUCCCUCACCUGCCCUUCAAUUCAAUGCGGCGACUCAAUCGUCUGCCUUUAAUUAGUCGCCUCAAUCCACCUCUUCUUAUUCAUAAACACCGCUUCUUCCUGUCAUUAUGCCGAUUCGGAUUUUCAAUUCCGCGUGAAGGAGACGGCAAUCGAUUCAUUCAAAUCCUCAGUUUCUCUUCGGUAACAAAAAUUCAACAAACAAUCGGCAAUCGUCGGUGUGCUUCUCGGUAGCUCGUUCAAAGGAACCGUUGAUGUCACUAAUAGUUACGCAGGUUUGGUUUUCGAUCGAUUCGGUUUUUGUUUUGCGUGUGUUCUAGGGCUUGUUUGGAUCUGAGGUGGUAAAUUUAGUUAUUGUAGAUUGUUUUUGGUGACUAGACAGUUUAAUUUUGUGUUUGUUUUUGGUUAUAGAUUGUUCUUGAUAAGAUAUGUGGUCUAGGCUUUAUAAUUGUGACAGAUGUGACGGUUGAAUUGUUGUGAUUGUUCAGAAUUAUAGAUUGUUUAUGCUAAAGAUGUGUAUUCUAGGGUUUAUAUAAUCAUGAUAUAUAUGACGGUUGAAUUGUUUUGGUUAUUGAGGAUUGUAGAUUGUUUAUGCUAACGAUGUAUUCUAGGGUUUAUAAAUUAUAACCAUGACAGAUAUGACGGUUGAAUUUUUGUGCUUGUUCGUUGAAUCGAAGUUCUACAGGGAAAUGGAAUUUGCUUCAAAUGCCAAAAAAAACACUGGCUUUGUUCCCAUGGUUCAAUGGCCUCUUUUUCUUCUAGCCAGCAAGAUAUUCGUUGAUGCAACAUUUGGCGGCAGAGAGUGACUCACGAAUACAAAUGUGGGAAAGGAUUUCGAGAGACGAUUACAUGAAAUAUGCAGUUGAAGAGUGUUUUACACCAUCAAGCUGAUUUUGACCUCAAUUUUUGACAAUGAUGGCAAAGAGUGGGUUAAUAGAAUAUAUGAUGAAAUUCGAGGAAGUAUUGAAAGGAGCAACUGUCUCUUGUUACUCAGAAAGUUACUGCACUAACAGGAAUUUUGAAAGAAGUUGGGACACCUGAACUGGAGACUGGUGCGAUUAAUGUUGCGCUAGAUCUUCAUGAUGUUAUCUAGAUUGAUUUUUUUAGUGUGAAUAUGAGGUCUUGGCGAAUGCAUCCGCUUACACAUAAUUUUUUUUUGUUGUAUAGGUUGGGAAAAUGAUGAUUUAUGCAUUAGACCACGUUGUAUCGGAAUUGUCGGGAUUUAUAGAUUCAAAUGGGCCCGCUGAUGAUCUUCAAAAUCAAUUCGCACGGGAGCUCGACAUCUUUUGGUGAUUUUCCCUUUAUUUAUUAAGUACUUCAGUUCAUUGGUGAAUUUGAUGAUUAUUUAAGUUGUUCUGUCGAUCAAAUCUAUGUCAUCAAAGCCCACUGUUACCGACGAAGACGACUCCGGUACAAAAACGAAAGAGAGAAGCGGGCCAGUUCUGAUCGAUAAAUUCGCAUCUAAAAGGCCAGCGGUUUACCCUAUGAUCGCUCAAGCGGUUUUAGCACCACCUAAACCCAGAAAGGCCCCGGAUCCUGGAAAAUUUAACGACAAUUUCCUAAAGAAAAGUAGUGCAGCGGCGCAUAGGCCGAAAGGUAAAGACGACGACAAUGAAAUUCACGAUGACGAGACGUCUGAGCUUAACGUUGCGAUCCCGGGUGUGAAAAAGGGUAGAAAGUGGAGUAAAGCGAGUAGGAAAGCGAUUAGAUUGCGGUUAGCGCGUGAGGCUAAGCCCGUUAAGGUUGAACUCAUGGAAGUUGAUGAAGACGGCAUGUUAAUCGAUGAAUUAGCGUAUAAUCUGGCGGUUACUGAAGGUGAGAUUCUCGACCAUCUUUACGCAAAGGGUAUUAAGCCUGACGGGGUGCAAAAAUUGGAUAAAGAAAUGGUGAAGAUGAUAUGUAGAGAGUAUGAUGUAGAAGUUAUUGAUGUGGGUCCGGCUAAAAUAGAGGAAAUGGCGAAAAAGAAAGAGAUUUUGGAUGCAGACGAUCUUAAUAAUUUACAAGAUCGACCACCUGUUCUCACUAUCAUGGGUCAUGUUGAUCACAGAAAAACAACACUUUUGGAUUAUAUCUGGAAAACCAAGUCAUAUUAAAUCUAGGGGUGCAAAAGGUAGGUCGGCAGCUGGCAAUAGAUGUAGAGGCGUUACAUUGAUUGAUUUGGACCAAGAACCACCGUGUGAAGUUGUUUCACUGUCUUCAAGUUGAAGAUUUUAAUCUUGAAUUGGAGAAUCAAAGCGGAGAGAAGGUGAAGCUGGGAACCGAAGACAAUUAACGGUAUAAUUAAUCGUUAAUCUUUAAUUAAGUUACCAAAUUAAGGAGCUACGUUGAUGAUUGGACUAAAGUUGAUAAAGUUGUUUUGCCUCUAAAUAAUAUAAUCUAUAUAAAUCCCAAAGAAAAGGGGGCUGCCCAAAGAAAAGGAACAAUGUCAUCUUGGUGGUGGUUUUUGCUACUCUUUAGAUUUUGAUUCAAAGAAACAACAUGACUUUUAACAAGAAUCUGACUUCGUAACCACUUUAGAAUUUCUGUCCAGGAAUGCAGAGUGGUCAGCUUUCAAUUUGGAGAGUCAUGGUGUUUGUCUGUAGUUUCUGUAUUCUUUUGUUGCCUUGUACAGUUUCUGUCUUCUCCAGUUGGGUUAUACUUCUAUGGGGUUUAAUUUGGAAUGCUUGUCAUUUUUCAAUAAAAAAGCAUAGGCACUUCUAUGGGG